rnacentral:rRNA from 1 species
UACGUAGGGGGCAAGCGUUGUUCGGAUUUACUGGGCGUAAAGGGCGCGUAGGCGGCGUGGUAAGUCACUUGUGAAAUCUCUGAGCUUAACUCAGAACGGCCAAGUGAUACUGCUGUGCUAGAGUGCAGAAGGGGCAAUCGGAAUUCUUGGUGUAGCGGUGAAAUGCGUAGAUAUCAAGAGGAACACCUGAGGUGAAGACGGGUUGCUGGGCUGACACUGACGCUGAUGCGCGAAAGCUAGGGGAGCAAACGGG